UUAAAAGUCGUUUUCUAUGUGAAGAGCACAGUGCAGUGUAACACUAGUAGUACUGUAGUGGUCGUGUACACUUUGAAUCUACCUGACUCCCACGACGACAGCGACCCCUCCUCCUCUUCCCCUAAUUAUACAUACACACACCCACCCUUAUAUAUGCACCUUCUUAUCUCUUUCUCUCUAUCUCCCAAUUAAACAACUAUAUAUUCUUUCAUCUUCUUUCUUUUCUUCACACACUGUGUGUGUAGUGCUGGAGAAUCAACCUUGUUUCUUAAUCACGGGCCUUCAUUUUUGGAAGCUAAGUCAUGCAAAGCUUCCCUUUUUCAGUGAUUCUUGAAAGUAUUUGGCCUUUUUUUAAUUAAUAUUAUCAUGUGCCAGUUUUUUUUUUUCCCGAUAAAAUAAUUUUUAAGACUUAUUUUGAUGUUAUUGAACUAGCUGAGAUGAACUUAAAAGUUGGCAUUAGGGUCUCUUUGUUGGUUCUUGGAAUCAAAGUUUGCUGACAAAUAAGACUUGCUUGCUGCUAGGUUUAAUUAUAGUCAAGUCAAGUUCUUUUUUUUUUUUUUGUGUGUGUGAUUGUUUUAGGGCUUCAAACUGGUUAUAAUUUGUAUUGGUUUCUGUUGCUAGAGGAUUACUGAUGGUUAAUAUUGAUCAUUGUGACCAGAUUAGAUUUUUAUAUAGGUAGUGAAACUAUCUCGAUCUUCGAUCUUAGGUUUAUCCGUGAUUCAGUUUUACACUCUCAUCACUGGAUUUUCUACAAAUUAGAGAUUCCUAGGAUGUUGGGAUUAAGUCAACUGAUUGAAUCUUUAUUUCUCUAUUGAUUAAUUGAAAUUUCUAAUGCCAUGGUUACAACUCACAAGUCAUUAGUCUGGUGUGCGGUCUCUUUAGUCUGCUGUAGAAGUCUUUUUGAGUUAUGUUUAUACUGCGUUUUUAGAAUCUUAAAAUUUAACUUCCUAAAUUACUUUGAAAUUUGCAUUUUUUUUUUUUUUUGCAAUGUGUUAGUAUGUAGUUUCUUAUAUUGAUCCGCACAUGUAUCAAAACUGCUAAAUUCAUGUAAAUUCUAGUUAAGACUUUGUACAUGUAGAGCAUUUAGAGUCAUGUAGUUAAUCUAUUGUGGAUGAAGGGAGUUGAGAUCUAGUGAGGCAAUUUUCUUUUGUUAGUGUUAUUGCACUAAUCUGCCUGGGGAAAGUUCUUCGACUUAUUAGAUACUUUUGAUAUCCUCUUUGUUACUCUUUUGCCCCCUCCCCCUUUUGGAGCUUUGACCUAAUUAGCUCAAUAACACUUGUUAGUUACUGUCGGCUAUUUUUGCCUGUUAGUAGUAUCAUUCAUACUGCUAUAUGAAGGCACAAGGGAUCGUACAGCCUAAAAUUCUAUUAUUUUGGCAAGAACGCACUGUAGUGAGGGAGCUUCCUUCAGCCCACUCAUGGAUGCAAUAGAGGGACUGAAUUAGCUGCCGCCUCAUUCAUUUAAACACCCAGUAGAGAAGGAAGAGCAUUAUACUACUGUGAUUGAGCGAAUGAUGCGGGAGAUAGUUUUCCAUCCCUUUUCCUCUGUGCUUGGACUGAAGGGAGCUCCCUUUCCCCGUUUUUGCUUUUUUCAUCUCUUUCAUGCCUUUCUUCUCAAGUAUGAACUUAUACCACUUACUUUAGAAUGAUUAUAUUAUGCUUAUUACCAACUGCCAAGCUUGACCUAUCAUGGUAUAAGCUGUAUGUUGCAGUAAUCCUUUUACAUCUGCUCCUGUCUUUUUAUAUAAGAAGCAGUAUUUGCUUUUGUCAAUUUUCAUCUUUCUUUGUGUUACUUGACUCUUAUAUCUUGUAUCAACAUAUUCUCUGCAUUCACCUAUAUGCUAUUGCUUGACAUGUUUUGUUGAUCAUAACGUUAUAUGGAUGAUGGUACCUGCAUCCGUAGGCAAAGAUUUCCUGGAAGUACAUGAUUGUGAAACUGUCUAUGAUAGCUUUGAUUGGCACAAAAAUCCAACUAUCCUUGUGUUUGGUGAGCAGGUUCUGAUUUUCCAUGGGACAUUCAGAGAUUACUAGCAAGUUCUAUCACGGAUCUGAUUCAAAUACUGAAGUACAGUCAUACAGUACAUGUGCUUAGCAUGUUGCCAGCUCCAAUGUUGCUCUGUUAGUACUUAUUUGCAAGUCGAAAAGGGGAUACUUAAUUGAGUAUGUUGAUGAACUACACACAGUUCAAAUUUCUCAUAACCUAUAUAAGCUUACAUUCUGAUAAUCAUAGUACAAAUCCUAGUAUUUACUUUGAAAGUAUAAGUUUGUCAUAUGCUUUUUUGAUGCUGCUGCAUUAUUAUAUUGAUGUACUGUAUUCUGAGCAACUUCCAUUAGAGGAUAUGUCUGUUCCUUCCGUCGAAGUGCUUAAAGCUUCUGUUCCAUGUCUCCUGGAAAUGUGAUUUUGCCAAAUAUGGAUUAGGGACUUAGAGAUCCCUGUUUAUGGAAACAAACUUUUGUUUAAAUUAUAUUUAAAUACUGCAUGCAUGAAUUUAGUCGAUGCAGAUCAUGUUAUAUGUGGAAUCAUUGCUAUUAAACUAUAGAACAGUUGUGAUUCAUUUA